UACAGAGGGGGCAAGCGUUGUUCGGAAUUACUGGGCGUAAAGGGCGCGUAGGCGGCCUUCUAAGUCAUGCGUGAAAUCCCCGGGCUCAACCCGGGAACUGCGUCUGAUACUGGAAGGCUUGAAUCCGGGAGAGGGAUGUGGAAUUCCAGGUGUAGCGGUGAAAUGCGUAGAGAUCUGGAAGAACACCAAAGGCGAAGGCAGCGUCCUGGCAAGUCACUGACGCUCAGGUGCGAAAGCUAGGGGAGCGAACGGG
rnacentral:rRNA from 1 species